UAUUUCAAUUAAAUCGAUCACUAUGUGAUAGUGGUUACAAGAGUAACUUUAGCAUUAGAUUAUGGCAUGAUAUUUCCUUUAUUUUCCAUGAUUUCAAAAAUUUGAACUUUUAUGUAUUGUAAGGAAAGUAGAGUAACGGUACAUUAUUAUGUAUAUGAAGUGUAAUUCGUCAGGCCGAUAAGUGAUUUUGAUCGAUCAAGGAAAAUGAUGGCUUUAGAGUUCUUACUUCUUGUUCGAGUUUUCUCAUUGCUUCUUUCUUUUUUUCUUUAAUGAGUGUAUGCAUGUGUGAAUGGUAGUUUUAUUAAGUACCGUUUCUUCUAAUAACGUUUUCUUCUGUAUAAAUAUUGUUUGAAUACAAUGACGGAUUCAGGAUUUUUUGGUA